AAAACCUUGCUAAUUCAAUAUAUUGCAGGGACUAUGUAGGCCU
rfam:Trichuris trichiura, WGS project CBXK01000000 data, contig: TTRE_1072